UACGUAUGGUGCAAGCGUUGUCCGGAAUUAUUGGGCGUAAAGAGCUCGUAGGCGGUCUGUCGCGUCGGCUGUGAAAACCUGGGGCUUAACUCCGGGCCUGCAGCCGAUACGGGCAGACUAGAGUUCGGCAGGGGAGACUGGAAUUCCCGGUGUAGCGGUGAAAUGCGCAGAUAUCAGGAGGAACACCGGUGGCGAAGGCGGGUCUCUGGGCCGAUACUGACGCUGAGGAGCGAAAGCGUGGGGAGCAAACAGG
rnacentral:rRNA from 1 species